GGCGGCGUAGUUUAGUGGGAAGAGCAUGAGAUUGGGAGUCGGAGGACCCGGGUUCAAAUCCCAGCUCCGCCA
rnacentral:tRNA from 1 species